rnacentral:rRNA from 1 species
UACGGAGGGAGCUAGCGUUGUUCGGAAUUACUGGGCGUAAAGCGCACGUAGGCGGCUAUUCAAGUCGGGGGUGAAAGCCCGGGGCUCAACCCCGGAACUGCCCUCAAAACUAGAUAGCUAGAAUCUUGGAGAGGCGAGUGGAAUUCCGAGUGUAGAGGUGAAAUUCGUAGAUAUUCGGAAGAACACCAGUGGCGAAGGCGACUCGCUGGACAAGUAUUGACGCUGAGGUGCGAAAGCGUGGGGAGCAAACAGG